rnacentral:rRNA from 1 species
CGGGACCUACGGGGCGCAGCAGUGGGGAAUAUUGCACAAUGGGGGAAACCCUGAUGCAGCAACGCCGCGUGAGUGAUGACGGCCUUCGGGUUGUAAAGCUCUGUCUUCAGGGACGAUAAUGACGGUACCUGAGGAGGAAGCCACGGCUAACUACGUGCCAGCAGCCGCGGUAAUACGUAGGUGGCAAGCGUUGUCCGGAAUUACUGGGUGUAAAGGGAGCGCAGGCGGGAAGCCAAGUCAGCUGUGAAAACUACGGGCUUAACUUGUAGACUGCAGUUGAAACUGGUUUUCUUGAGUGAAGUAGG